GAUGAACGCUGACAGAAUGCUUAACACAUGCAAGUCGAUGGGGAAGUGGUGCUUGCACCAUGGCAACCAUGGCGGACGGGUGAGUAACGCGUAAGGGACUUACCUGCAGGACUGGGAUAACAGGGGGAAACUCCUGACAAGACCGGAUAAUGUCAUGGAGCUGCAUGGCUUUAUGAUGAAAGGAGACGCCCGCGGAGAGCCUUGCGUCCUAUUAGCUAGUUGGUGAGGUAAUGGCUCACCAAGGCGAAGAUAGGUAGCCGGCCUGAGAGGGUGGACGGCCACAAGGGGACUGAGAUACGGCCCUUACUCCUACGGGAGGCAGCAGUGGGGAAUAUUGGACAAUGGGGGCAACCCUGAUCCAGCAAUUCUGUGUGCACGAAGAAGGUUUUCGGAUUGUAAAGUGCUUUCAGCAGGGAAGAAGUAAGUGACGGUACCUGCAGAAGAAGCGACGGCUAAAUACGUG
rnacentral:rRNA from 1 species